CGAUGCAUAGCCGACCUGAGCCAUGAUCAAACUCUACUGGGACUGAGACACGGCCCAGACUCCUACGGGAGGCAGCAGUAGGGAAUCUUCGGCAAUGGACGAAAGUCUGACCGAGCAACGCCGCGUGAGUGAAGAAGGUUUUCGGAUCGUAAAACUCUGUUGUUAGAGAAGAACAAGGACGUUAGUAACUGAACGUCCCCUGACGGUAUCUAACCAGAAAGCCACGGCUAACUACGUGCCAGCAGCCGCGGUAAUACGUAGGUUGGCAAGCGUUGUCCGGAUUUAUUUGGGCGUAAAGCGAGCGCAGGCGGUUUCUUAAGUCUGAUGUGAAAGCCCCCCGGCUCAACCGGGGAGGGUCAUUGGAAACUGGGAGACUUGGAGUGCAG
rnacentral:rRNA from 1 species